GUAGGUGGCGAGCGUUAUCCGGAAUUAUUGGGCGUAAAGAGGGAGCAGGCGGCACUAAGGGUCUGUGGUGAAAGAUCGAAGCUUAACUUCGGUAAGCCAUGGAAACCGUAGAGCUAGAGUGUGUGAGAGGAUCGUGGAAUUCCAUGUGUAGCGGUGAAAUGCGUAGAUAUAUGGAGGAACACCAGUGGCGAAGGCGACGAUCUGGCGCAUAACUGACGCUCAGUCCCGAAAGCGUGGGGAGCAAAUAGGAUUAGAUACCCUAGUAGUCCACGCCGUAAACGGUGGGCGCUAGGUGUGGGUUCCUUCCACGGAAUCCGUGCCGUAGCUAACGCAUUAAGCGCCCCACCUGGGGAGU
rnacentral:rRNA from 1 species